GCCAGUGUGGUGUAAUGGUUUGAGCACUGGACUGUGACUCUAGAGACCAGGGUUUGAAUCCCUGCUCAACCA